CUCCAAACAUUUACUUUUGAUAAUGCUAAUUUGGUACCUACAGGCAUUGCUCCCCAUCAAGCCUGCAAAUGACAAUCCUAUAGAUUAUAAAAUGCUUUAGAGGUAUAUAAAAUAUUCAAAGAUUGAUUCAUAUAUUAAUAUGCCUUGUCAAAAAAAGUUGUCUAAAUAUAUUCUGUUCUUUACCAUCUAGGUCUUAAUCACCUAUAAAAAUGCUGUUAUGACAAAAACUUUAUGUUUUAUGUUUUCCCUCCUAAUUUGUUUUAUGUUGUCUGUCUAAUACUGAACACAUGGUUCUAUCAUAUUAGGCAAAUAUAACAUUUGCCACUGGAAUU